CGAAUAUGUAGUAUAUGUUCAACUCUCAAAGUAGAUGAUACAGCAAAUAUGAAGCAGAACUCAAAGAUUACAACAUGAUAGUAAAAUGAAAAUUCCAGCAUGACACAAUGCUACCAAUGGCCCAUUUGGCAUAGCUUUUAAUUUCAAAUCCCAAAGGAAAGCUGCAGGGAUGACAAAAAAAGGGCGCUUUCCUAUUCCGGCAAGACUCGCUGUUGAGUCAACCUCCCCUCGGGUCUAGGCCCUCUUUUCCUCCACAUCGUUAUUUCCUCCAUUGAUAUACAAUUUCUCUUGCCAUUUUUGCUUUUUUAUUUAUUUAUAUAUUGAUCAUCAUCCCAAGAAUCCCUUGGUGAGUGAGCCAUGGGUACGGUGCACGAACGAUGGACCAAAAAGACUCGGUCAUAGGAAUUUAGACCACUUACGUGCUGGUAAACGAAAACCACCUCGACCGGAUCAGAGUAAACAACAACUUUUGCUCUUGUAGAAAAGUUUUGAAGGAAGUCACCUUAAUUUUUGUUUAAAAACAAAUUUUCAAAAAAGCUUCCCACUCCAGAUGUGCUUUUGGAAGAAGUCACAUUAGACCAAUUUCCUCUAAAAGCUCUUCUAAGUAGAAGAAAAGAGCAAAACGGGUCCAAAAAGCUGCUUUUGGGUCUCAAAAGAUUCUUUUUACUUUUCAAAACUCAUGCCAAAUGGGCUCUAAUUCUCUAUAGCAUACACAUUGCUGCUUUGUGGAUCCUAGACAGCAGUGACUGCACGAGAGAUCCCAGACUGAAGUUUGCCUCUGCCGGAUCAAACUUUCUACUGGCUGUCAUGUUUAAAUCUUUUUUGAAUCUUCAUUUCCCUCCAUGAUUGACUGGUUUGCAUAGAAAUCAUUCAUCAUUUCAAUAAACCCAUGACAUUGAGAAGUGUAAAAACAUAUUUUCUUCAAAUUUAAUCUCAGUUUUCCUAGAGCAUUCUUGUGCUGGCUAGAGCAUGCAUGAGCCAGGGGUCCAACUGGCGUCUUCAUGCACUGGGUGGCAUGCACGCGCACUCACCAAGCACCUUUUAGAC
rnacentral:lncRNA from 1 species